rfam:Camelus ferus unplaced genomic scaffold scaffold826, whole genome shotgun sequence.
GAGGGUAUAGCUCAAGUGGCAGAGCACAUGCUUAGCAUGUUUGAGGUCCUGGGUUCCAUCCCCAGUACCUCCU